rnacentral:rRNA from 1 species
GAUGAACGCUGGCGGCGUGCCUAAUACAUGCAAGUCGAGCGAACGGACGAGGAGCUUGCUUCUCUGAUGUUAGCGGCGGACGGGUGAGUAACACGUGGAUAACCUACCUAUAAGACUGGGAUAACUUCGGGAAACCGGAGCUAAUACCGGAUAAUAUUUUGAACCGCAUGGUUCAAAAGUGAAAGACGGUCUUGCUGUCACUUAUAGAUGGAUCCGCGCUGCAUUAGCUAGUUGGUAAGGUAACGGCUUACCAAGGCAACGAUGCAUAGCCGACCUGAGAGGGUGAUCGGCCACACUGGAACUGAGACACGGUCCAGACUCCUACGGGAGGCAGCAGUAGGGAAUCUUACGCAAUGGGCGAAAGCCUGACGGAGCAACGCCGCGUGAGUGAUGAAGGUCUUCGGAUCGUAAAACUCUGUUAUUAGGGAAGAACAUAUGUGUAAGUAACUGUGCACAUCUUGACGGUACCUAAUCAGAAAGCCACGGCUAACUACGUG